rnacentral:lncRNA from 1 species
AGCAGUAGAAUUUACAUUUUUCAGAUAAGAAAUCACAAGCAUUUCUUCCAUGGGUCAGAAACAUCCCUGUGAUUGUCUGGCUAGACAUACGAAUUGUUUUUAUGCAAGACCUGCCUGGACUUUCUACCUCAAAGCCUCAAACUGCCAAAUAAGAUACAUUAACUUUCCUUUCAGAUAGCUGAAGGUAAGAUCAGUUAAUGUGCCAGCUCCCUCCCCUAUGAGUUUUUAAACUAAUCUCAGAUUUAUUUGGGCACACAGCAGCUGUGGUAGCUUGGGAUUCAUGAUUUGCUGUAUACACCCCUAAAAUUC